AACUCGCUGUGAAGAUGCAGUGUACCCGCGGCAAGACGGAAAGACCCCGUGAACCUUUACUAUAGCUUGACACUGAACAUUGAGCCUUGAUGUGUAGGAUAGGUGGGAGGCUUUGAAGUGUGGACGCCAGUCUGCAUGGAGCCGACCUUGAAAUACCACCCUUUAAUGUUUGAUGUUCUAACGUGGACCCGUAAUCCGGGUUGCGGACAGUGUCUGGUGGGUAGUUUGACUGGGGCGGUCUCCUCCUAAAGAGUAACGGAGGAGCACGAAGGUUGGCUAAUCCUGGUCGGACAUCAGGAGGUUAGUGCAAUGGCAUAAGCCAGCUUGACUGCGAGCGUGACGGCGCGAGCAGGUGCGAAAGCAGGUCAUAGUGAUCCGGUGGUUCUGAAUGGAAGGGCCAUCGCUCAACGGAUAAAAGGUACUCCGGGGAUAACAGGCUGAUACCGCCCAAGAGUUCAUAUCGACGGCGGUGUUUGGCACCUCGAUGUCGGCUCAUCACAUCCUGGGGCUGAAGUAGGUCCCAAGGGUAUGGCUGUUCGCCAUUUAAAGUGGUACGCGAGCUGGGUUUAGAACGUCGUGAGACAGUUCGGUCCCUAUCUGCCGUGGGCGCUGGAGAACUGAGGGGGGCUGCUCCUAGUACGAGAGGACCGGAGUGGACGCAUCACUGGUGUUCGGGUUGUCAUGCCAAUGGCACUGCCCGGUAGCUAAAUGCGGAAGAGAUAAGUGCUGAAAGCAUCUAAGCACGAAACUUGCCCCGAGAUGAGUUCUCCCUGAGACUUAGAGUCUCCUGAAGGAACGUUGAAGACGACGACGUUGAUAGGCCGGGUGUGUAAGCGCAGCGAUGCGUUGAGCUAACCGGUACUAAUGAACCGUGAGGCUUAACCUUACAACGCCGAAGCUGUU
rnacentral:rRNA from 1 species